rnacentral:rRNA from 1 species
GACGAACGCUGGCGGCGUGCUUAACACAUGCAAGUCGAACGGAAAGGCCCUGCUUUUGUGGGGUGCUCGAGUGGCGAACGGGUGAGUAACACGUGAGUAACCUGCCCUUGACUUUGGGAUAACUUCAGGAAACUGGGGCUAAUACCGGAUAGGAGCUCCUGCUGCAUGGUGGGGGUUGGAAAGUUUCGGCGGUUGGGGAUGGACUCGCGGCUUAUCAGCUUGUUGGUGGGGUAGUGGCUUACCAAGGCUUUGACGGGUAGCCGGCCUGAGAGGGUGACCGGCCACAUUGGGACUGAGAUACGGCCCAGACUCCUACGGGAGGCAGAAGUGGGGAAUAUUGCACAAUGGGGGGAAGCCUGAUGCAGCAACGCCGCGUGCGGGAUGAAGGCCUUCGGGUUGUAAACCGCUUUCGCCUGUGACGAAGCGUGAGUGACGGUAAUGGGUAAAGAAGCACCGGCUAACUACGUG